UUACUAUGUAAAGAUAAGUGAUCAAUCUUGGUGAAGCCUUAGAGUCUUCUAGAGCAGCCUCCUUCUCUUGAAUUUCCAUGACUAGUCCAUAUAAAGCUUCUUUCAUUUGUUUUGCCCUUGCUCUAGUCAUUGGACCUCCAAUUCCUUGUAAUGGAUCUUUGGAAUUAGCUUGAACCAUUCGGCCAGCCCCUUGAUCUCUAUCAUUCCCUCCCUCGAAAGGAUUCGUCCUCGAAUCACCUACAUCAAAUAAGGAUAAAUCAGCAACAUUAAAAGUAGCACUAAUAUU
rnacentral:lncRNA from 1 species